AGCGGCGGACGGGUGAGUAACGCGUGGGUAACCUGCCUCAUACAGGGGGAUAACAGUUGGAAACGGCUGCUAAUACCGCAUAAGCGCACAGUACCGCAUGGUACCGUGUGAAAAACUCCGGUGGUAUGAGAUGGACCCGCGUCUGAUUAGCUAGUUGGUGGGGUAACGGCCUACCAAGGCGACAAUCAGUAGCCGACCUGAGAGGGUGACCGGCCACAUUGGGACUGAGACACGGCCCAA
rnacentral:rRNA from 1 species